rnacentral:rRNA from 1 species
GAGUGGCAAACGGGUGAGUAACACGUAAACAAACCUGCCUUCAGGAUGGGGACAACAGACGGAAACGACUGCUAAUACCGAAUAAGACCACAGCACCGCAUGGUGCAGGGGUAAAAACUACCGGUGGUACAGGAUGGACCCGCGUCUGAUUAGCUGGUUGGUGAGGUAACGGCCUACCAAAGCGACGAUCAGUAGCCGGCCUGAGAGGGUGAACGGCCACAUUGGGACUGAGACACGGCCCAAACUCCUACGGGAGGCAGCAUG